CAUCGCACAUCGUCUUCAGACUGCUGCUUGUUGAGCAUGCCCACAAAGAGUUUUCUGUCUUCUGAAACAAAGAGGAACUGGUCAUGAACAGAUGUAUCAAGGGAUGACACAGAGACCUCUGGGUUCUGAGCAAGACAGUGAGCCAGAGCUGCCAGGAGAUGUCAUCGAGCCCCUCCCAACUGCAUCAAGCACCAGAUAUGCUGUUCCAAAAGGACCCAAUGACAUUUCCAGAUCCAGAGAAAAGGGUCCUGUACAGCCGUGUUUGAAAACAUUUCCCAGAACUCUGCAUGGUACAAGGAAAAGGGCUUUCAACAGCUCCUGGUAUAAGAAUAAUUCAUGGCUUGAAUAUUCUGUAAGGCAAGAUUCGACUUAUUGUUUCGCCUGUAGGUAUUUUUCUCUGCAAUACACCUGAAUCUGCCUUCACAUCACAGUCAGGUUUUUGUAACUGGAAAAAGGCGCUGUUUAAAGAUUCUGGGUUUAAGCUCCAUUCGAAGGCAGAGCAUCAUAUCAAUGCUAUGUAUGUAUGCUUGGAAUCAGAAUAAAAGGGCUAUUGACAGCAACUCAUCAAUGUUAGAUAUCAUAAAUGAGGACCAGAAAAAGAAGUGGAGAAAAACUGUACUUACAUUAAAACAAUUGCAGAUGUACUCCUAUUAACUGCCACUCAAAAUAUAGUGCAGAGGUCAUCGAGAGUCUGAUGACUCUCACAACAAGGGUCUUUUUUUGACAAUUUUAGAAGAAAUAGCAAAGAAUGACCCUCUCAUAGAGAAAAGGAUGAAUACAUGUGGCAAUGCUAAGUACACAAGCCACCAAAUCCAGAACAAAGUUAUUGAGGGCUGAGCUGAGAUUGUAGAAAGUGAAAUAAUAAGAGAAGUAAAAGAAAGUGAAGUUUUUAGUGUAAUUGCAGAUGAAACCAAAUGUAAAAAAAAAUACAAAUACCACGUCUUCAGAUGUGAGGUACUAUUACAAUGGCAUCCACGGAAGCUUUUUACACUUUCAGUCAGCUGAAAGCUUAGAUGCAGUAGGUCUCACAAAAACGAUAAUAGAUGGCCUUGAAAAACAUGGUCUGGACUACAGAAAUGAUAUUGUGGGGCACAAGGCUAUGACGGUGCAUCCGUCAUGAGCGGAAAGCAUUCUAGUGUGACUGCACGGAUUUAAAACAGUGCAAGAUUUGCAUUUUAUGUGCACUGUAAUGCACAUUGUUUGAAUUUGGUUCUUGUCGAUGCUGUAAAAUUAGUGCCUGAGGCAGUUUACUUUUUUGCUCUCCUGCAGAAGCUUCAUAACUUUGUAUCUGGCUCGUACAUUCAUCUCAAGUGGCUUGCAGUUCAGAAAGAGUUGUAUCCACAGCAGCAGCCCAGGGAACUACAGAGACUUACGGAUGUAAGGUGGGCAUGCAAAUACACGGCAUGCCAUAAUCUGAGGUACAGGCUUCCAGCAGUUCUGAGAGUGCACAGAAUAUCACACUUGAAAAUAGUGGUGAUAGAUCAGUGGAGGCAAGGGGCCUUCUUUCUCAGAUAGAUUUACAUUUCAAAGGGCUUUUGGUUACCUUUUGUAAAGUGCUUGGUGAUGCCAAGUGUCUUUCUGACAUGCUCCAAUCAAACCCUCUUGACCUAGCAAGGGCUGUGGAUCUAGUAGGUUCCCUUACAGACACAUUACAGGACUACAGAAGUGAGGAGAACUACUUUGGAGAACUAUGGAAAGAGGUUGAAAAGAUUGCAUAGCACUGCAAAAUAAGUAUUUUUUAACAUUUUUAAAUUUAUAUUUCACCUUUAUUUAACCAGGUAGGCUAGUUGAGAACAAGUUCUCAUUUACAACUGCGACCUGACCAAGAUAAAGCAUAGCAGUGUGAACAGACAACAACACAGAGUUACACAUGGAGUAAACAAUAAACAAGUCAAUAACACAGUAGGGGGAAAAUGAGUCUAUAUACAUUGUGUGCAAAAGGCAUGAGGAGGUAGGCAAUAAAUAGGCCAUAGGAGCGAAUAAUGACAAUUUAGCAGAUUAACACUGGAGUGAUAAAUCAUCAGAUGAUCAUGAGCAAGUAGAGAUAUUGGUGUGCAAAAGAGCAGAAAAGUAAAUAAAUAAAAACAGUAAGGGGAUGAGGUAGGUAAAUUGGGUGGGCUGUUUACAGAUGGACUAUGCACAGCUGCAGCGAUCGGUUAGCUGCUCAGAUAGCAGAUGUUUAAAGUUGGUGAGGGAAAUAAAAGUCUCCAACUCCAGCAAUUUUUGCAAUUCGUUCAAGUCACAGGCAGCAGAGAACUGGAAGGAAAGGCAGCCAAAUGAGGUGUUGGCUUUUGGGAUGAUCAGUGAGAUAUACCUGCUGGAGCGCGUGCUAUGGGUGGGUGUUGUUAUCGUGACCAGUGAACUGAGAUAAGGCGGAGCUUUACCUAGCAUGGACUUAUAGAUGACCUGGAGCCAGUGGGUCUGGCGACGAAUAUGUAGCGAGGGCAAGCCGACUAGAGCAUACAGGUCGCAGUGAUGGGUGGUAUAAGGUGUUUUAGUAACAAAACGGAUGGCACUAUGAUAAACUGCAUCUAGUUUGCUGAGUAGAGUAUUGGAAGCUAUUUUGUAGAUGACAUCGCCAAAGUCGAGGAUCGGUAGGAUAGUCAGUUUUUCUAGGGUGAGUUUGGCGGCGUGAGUGAAGGAGGCUUUGUUGCGAAAUAGAAAGCCGAUUCUUGAUUUGAUUUUGGAUUGGAGAUGUUUAAUAUGAGUCUGGAAGGAGAGUUUACAGUCUAGCCAGACACCUAGGUAUUUAUAGAUGUCCACAUAUUCUAGGUCAGAACCGUCCUGGGUGGUGAUGCUAGUCGGGCGGGCGGGUUCAAGCAGCGAACGGUUGAAAAGCAUGCAUUUGGUUUUACAAAUUGGAGUUGGUGGCCACGGAAGGAGUGUUGUAUGGCAUUGAAGCUCGUUUGGAGGUUAGGUAUACAAACAUUGUGUAAAAGACAGCCUAAAACAAGCUUAAGAUUUCACGACUCAUUGAUAAUGUGCACUGUAGGACAGAAAAAUAGUGACCAAAGUGAUGGUGAGAGCUUCCAAAGAGCUAUCUUUUAUCAGGUGCUUGACAGUCUCUCAGCUGAGCUGCAGAGGCAUUUUUCAAAGAAUUGCGAGAUAAUGCAAGGGGUCCAGUCUCUCAACCCAAAGAGUACAACAUUCUUGAAUGAGGAGCCUCUUUUUGCCUUUGCUCAGACAUUUGAGUCAGAUUUAGAGGACCUCAAACAUGAGGUUCAUCAAACCAAGCGGCUUCUUGAUAGGAGAGAGAAAAGUGGAAGGGGCAGGCCGUCUACUCUCCUUGACUUUGUUGUGUUUCUAGAACCUUAUAAAGAGAUGUUCCAAGAGCUAUUUUGACUUUCUAAGAUUUCUGUUGUUACACCAGUCAGCAGUGCUUCUUGCGAGAGAAGCUUCUCAGCUUUAAAACUGAUUAAAACCCACCUUAGGACAACAAUGGUUGAUGACAGGUUAAGUCACCUCGGAAUCCUCAGUGUUGAGUCAAGGAGGGCACGCUCCCUCAACAUGGAGGAGUUUGUGAAACAUUUUGCCAGUUCUCAGCAGAACUGCAGAAUGAUGCUGUUUUAAAUCUACCUAGGGUCAUUUGGCACUUAACCGGUCCCUCUGGUCAUGGUUAAAACCUGCACUGUGUACUAGCGAGUACACUGACAUUCUAAUAUGAUAAAUCCAAAGGGUAUCAUGUCACACAGAUUUCAUUUGGUCUUGAUCAGGCCAAUUCCAAAAAUGUAUUUGCUAUUAGUUAACAUAAUAUAUAUGAGCAUAAAUAUGAUACUGUAAGUUUGUAAUAUUGAUGGGCACCAAAAUUACGAAACAUUUUCAAGUCCAUUUCUGCUUGAUACCUGGUAUGUCAAAUUGCAGUGUGUUAUUUCGUAAAUUAUUUUUUUUGUAAAUAAACUAUGCAAUUUAUCUUAUCUCCUUGGUGCUUGAGCUUUAUUUUCUGAAAAUAUUUUGGAUGUUCAACACUUAUAGACCCAGAUUAUAUAUUCAUGAAAACAGA